rnacentral:tRNA from 1 species
GUUCCUGUAGUUGAAACUGGACAACAACAGCUUUUCGGGCUGUGGGUCUCGGAGAAAGCCCGAGUAGGAAUU